UGGGGGAUAUUGCACAAUGGGCGAAAGCCUGAUGCAGCGACGCCGCGUGGGGGAUGAAGGCUUUCGGGUUGUAAACCUCUUUCGCUAUCGAACAAGGCCCGCUUAGGGUGGGUUGAGGGUAGGUGGAGAAGAAGCGCCGGCUAACUACGUGCCAGCAGCCGCGGUAAUACGUAGGGCGCGAGCGUUGUCCGGAAUUAUUGGGCGUAAAGGGCUUGUAGGCGGCUUGUUGCGCCUGCUGUGAAAACGCGGGGCUUAACUUCGCGCGUGCAGUGGGUACGGGCAGGCUUGAGUGUGGUAGGGGUGACUGGAAUUCCAGGUGUAGCGGUGAAAUGCGCAGAUAUCUGGAGGAACACCGAUGGCGAAGGCAGGUCACUGGGCCAUUACUGACGCUGAGGAGCGAAAGCAUGGGUAGCGAACAGG
rnacentral:rRNA from 2 species